AUUGAACGCUGGCGGCAGGCCUAACACAUGCAAGUCGAGCGGAGCGGCGGACGGGCGAGUAAUGCCUAGGAAUCUGCCUGGUCGUGGGGGAUAACGUCCGGAAACGGGCGCUAAUACCGCAUACUAUUAGAUGAGCCUAGGUCGGAUUAGCUAGUUGGUGGGGUAAAGGCCUACCAGGGCGACGAUCCGUAACUGGUCUGAGAGGAUGAUCAGUCACAUUGGAACUGAGAGACGGUCCAUACUCGUACGGGAGGCAGCAGUAGUGAUUAUUGGACAAUGGGCGAAAGCCUGAUCCAGCCGUGCCGCGUGUGUUAAGAAGUUCUUCGGAUUGUAAAGCGCUUUUAGUUGGGAGGCGUUACCAACAGAAUAAGCACCGGCUAACUUCGUGCCAGCAGCCGCGGUAAUAC
rnacentral:rRNA from 1 species